rnacentral:siRNA from 1 species
CACGACUGUUCUUCACCAUGGU